rnacentral:SRP_RNA from 1 species
GCCGGGCAUGGUGGUGCAUGCCUGUAAUCCCAGCUACUCAGGAGGCUGAGGCAGGAGAAUCACUUGAACCCGGGAGGUGGAGGUUGCGAUGAGCCGAGAUCACGCCAUUGCACUCCAGCCUGGGCAAUAGAGUGAGACUCCGUCUCAA